CGCACCCCGGGCUGGGGGCAGGCGCCAAGCCCGCACCGGGCAAUGGCUGGGGGCCCAGCACGCAGCGCCCCACUUCGCACAGAGCGAGACCCGAACCGGGGCCCCUUCGAUGGCGCUACCAGCGCCUGCCCACGCGUGUGCUCGCACGUGGCCCCAGCGUGUGCGGGGCGCUCUGCCCACCCCAGGCUGACGGCUCUGUGCGGCCCUGGGAGCUCUCCCGGCCCCGAGCCGGGGGGCGGCGCUGGGGCAACCGGGUCGUGGGGCCACAGGCUCCCGUGGGGCUCCCGGCCUCGCGGUUCGCAGUCGGUCUCGCGGCCCAGAAGGCCAGGGCAGGAGACCAGCGGGUCUCAAAGGGGAUUAACAGGGAGGCCGGGGGGUCCCUGGCAGCAAGCGGCUUCCAAACCCCUUUGCACCCAGGACGGGGCGAUCGACAGGGGCCCGUGGGGCGGCCCCGUGACCCAUCACUGAUGCCCCCCCCGGCAGCCUCGGGCACGGGGGGGGGGGGGGAACGCUGCAAGGCAGCGCCGGGCUCCUGCGGCCUGGGGACAAGGGAGGGUGGGGGGGGACAGGGAGACUUGCGGCCCGAGGGGUUCGUGCUCCAGACCCCAGCUGCCCUCGCACCAGGGCACAAACACGUGCCAAAGGGCAUCACACGAGCGUCCUCACCGGGCGCACCAGGGACACGCGCUGACCCGGGGCAGAAAAAACACAAACCGGCCAGUCAGCUGUUGGCCCGGACCUCAAGAAACAUGAGGAAGGGAAGAAAGUGGGGCACCCCACCAAGCACAAGGACGAGCACGGAUCCUCCUCGGACUCCAGCAGCAGCUCCAGUGAGAGCAGCGGGGAGCACCAUGGCAAGCCCCAUUGCCCAGGCCACGAGCACAAGAAGAAGAAGAAGGAGAAGAAGCUGAACAAGGAGAAGAAGCCAAAGAAGGAGAAGUCCAAGGAGAAGAAGAGCCACUGAUGCCAGCACCAGGACUGGCUGCGUCUCGCCCACACGGCACACCUGGCGCUGGGCAGAGACCCGGCCCGAGAGCAGGGCUGGGAGGAGAACCAGCAGCUCAGCCAGGCACCCGCUGCCCUUAUCUGUCCCUUUGGAGCCUGCCCUUUGGAGCCUUAAUUGGAAAUAAACAAGGGUGGGUCUGA